GUGUUAAUAAAAAAAAAUUGAUAGAUGGUCUAAGCAGAUGCUGAUUGACGCCACACGGUCGUCCGUCGUCAUUCCGGCGGAGGGUUACCUCUCUUUGGAUGCGCCAAGCAUUUCUCUUAAAUCAAAACGGAAACACUGCAAGAAAGAUUUUCUCUUGGCUACAUUAUAGGUCUCUCUCUCUCUCUCUCUCUGUGGCAGAGAUGACCAGAACGAAGCUCUCUUCUUGCUGCAUAUCUCACGAAUUCUUGAAAGCUGCAACCAGAAACCCCAACAAAGUCGCCGUCAUACAUGGCUGCGGUGGCGCCAACAUCGCCAGAGAGUUUCGCAGCAACAACAACGCCACCAGUGUGUCCGAUAUCAACUACGACAACUUCUUCGGCGACCUUUUCGCAGCAGCGGCACCGUCGUCUAAUCCUCCGGUGUGCAGUGGCGAUCGGUGUUUCACUUUCUCUGAAAUUCUCUCCGCCGUCGACUCCCUCAGUUCGCGCCUCCGCCGCAUCCUCGACGGUGGGGAUGAUCCCUAUCUUGUGAGGCCCACCUCUGGUAAUUUUCUGAGUGAGCAGCCAGUACAAUCUGAAUGUUCGAAUUCUUGUAGUCUAGGUGUAAAGCAGUCUACUGAGGAUCAGUAUAUGUAUACUCCAAAAAUAUUGGGAAUAUAUAUGGUACCUUCUGUGGAAUACAUUAUUGCUGUUCUUUCUGUACUGAGGUGUGGGGAGGCUUUUAUGCCUUUAGAUCCUUUGUGGCCGAAAGAAAGAAUAUCAACCAUUGUUGCUUUGUCAAAUGUGGAUCUUAUUAUUAGAUGUCAAUCUUCAUUUGAUGGAAGUGGCUGUCAUGAGCCUGAUAAAUCAGAGGGGCUUGUUGAUUGUAGCACUUGUCCUGAGUUAUUUAUAUCCAUGAAAGAAAACCUUCAGCAGCAAUUUGGUUCAUCAAAUUUAGCAUGGCAUUGUGAAAAUGAAAAAACAAGGUCGUUUUGUUACUUAAUGUUCACAUCGGGAUCAACUGGAAAACCUAAAGGUGUAUGUGGCACUGAAACAGGUCUUGUGAAUCGUGUUUUGUGGAUGCAAGAAUUGUAUCCCUCAGUUGGGGAAGAAUUGUUACUGUUCAAAACAUCAAUAAGCUUUAUUGAUCAUUUACAAGAAUGCUUGGGAGCUCUUCUUGCUACUUGUACAUUGGUCAUACCUCCUUUCAAUGAGUUCAAAGAAAAUCCUUUUUAUGUAUACGAUUUUUUACAGUUCUGCAGGAGCACUGAAAAUUUUGGAUGUUUUGGAAAUAUAGUUGAGCAGGCUUACUCUAUCAAUAGACUUAUUGCUGUCCCAUCACUGAUGAGAGUGAUUCUUCCUGCCUUGCAAAGUCCGUAUAAUAUGAGAGUUCAGAGUUCCUUAAAAAUGUUAGUGCUGAGUGGCGAAGUUUUUCCUAUGUCCUUAUGGGAAAUGCUUUACAAGUUAUUACCGAAGACUACUAUCUUGAACUUAUAUGGGUCUACGGAGGUGUCUGGUGAUUGUUCAUAUUUCGAUUGCAAGAAGUUGCUAUCGAUUUUGGAUAGUGAAGCACUGAGCAGUGUUCCCAUUGGCAUGCCUAUUUCAAACUGUGAUUUAGUUCUUGUAGAUGAAGAUUCAUCUAUUCAAGGAGAAAUUCAAGGAGAAAUAUAUGUUGGCGGACUCUGCAUGGCUGCUGGAUACUAUUGUGAUUUUUCUGUAAUACGGCAUGACUUUGUUAAGUGUCCUCAACACUCUUCUUCUGUCUGUUUAGUCAGUGAGAGUGAAUGUCAAUACUAUUUUAAAACUGGUGAUUUUGCUAGACGACUUCAAAGUGGUGACCUAAUUUUUCUCGGCAGAAAAGAUCGCACAGUGAAGGUUAAUGGGCAACGCAUUGCAUUAGAGGAAAUUGAAAGUACAUUAAGGGGAUAUCCAGGAGUAGUUGAUGUUGCUGUGAUUUAUUGUAGAGGUCAAGGAGAAGUAGCAUUUCUUGAUGCAUAUUUAUUAAUGAGACCAGCGGAUGUAUGUGGUGAAAUUUUGAGAUCUUCUAUUAGGAGUUGGAUGCUUGAAAAACUUCCAUUAGCAAUGAUCCCUAACCGUUUCUUCUUUACCGAAUCAUUUCCCAAGUCUUCAACUGGAAAAGUGGAUUAUGUGCUGUUGGCCAGUUUGACGUUUUCCAUGAAACGUGACCAAAAUGAGAUUGGUAAAAUUCAGAGUACUGGACUGUUGGAAGUUGUCAAGAAGGCCUUUUGUGAUGCUUUGAUGGUUGAAAUGGUGUCUGAUGAUGAUGAUUUCUUUAUAAUGGGUGGUAAUUCUAUCUCAGUGGCGCACGUCUCUUAUAAUUUAGGAAUUGAUAUGGGGUUGCUUUAUGUCUUUCCAAGUCCAUUGAAGCUUCAAAUGGCACUUCUAGAAAAAGAAAGUUUGUGCAAUACUAAUGAAAGAACAGCUGUUAAUGAAGCGCAAGAGGAGAGGAUGCUUAUUUCCCUUGAUUCUAAGAUGCCUAAUCUUCAAUCCUCUAAGCCAUGUGGAAGGUUUUCGAGGACCCUCAGCAACAAGAGUGAUGAUUAUCCUUCUAAAUUCCAGAAGGUGCAUUUAAAUUUCUGUGGAAAUUCAAAGGGAAAUAGUUUUGUAGAUGGCUAUCCAUGGAAUUCAAAUUCAAUACGUGUGCCAUGUUCAUGUAGCCGUUGCAAUAGAGUAAUUUAUGAUGGUGCAUACGAGGGGAAUAAUUUAUGGCAAGCAACCUUGUCAGUGGAAAUUCCGAGAAAUAAAAGAGGUGCUAUGCAAGAAUUAUGGAAAGUCCACAUGGAAUCUUGUGUUGAUGCAUCACCACUUCUUGUAUUUAAAGAACAAGAUUUUUUUCUUUUUAUUGGAUCUCACUCAUACAAAUUUCUUUGUAUCAAUGCCAAAAGUGGUUUUGUCCAAUGGGAGAUCAAAUUAGGAGGACGGAUAGAAUGUUCGGCUGCAAUCCUUGGUAAUUUUUCUCAGGUUGUCGUUGGAUGUUACCAAGGGAAGAUUUACUUUCUUGAUUUUUCUAAUGGCAACAUCUGUUGGAGUUUCCAAACGUGUGGUGAGGUUAACUUGUUUUGCAGUUUCCUAGAUGCUAAUCAAAUUUUGACUUUCGAAGGUAAAGUCACAGCCCGUGGUGGACAAAUGCAGGCACUUGGUCUGGUGUGGGUCGCAUGACCAUAAUCUUUAUGCUCUUGAUUAUAAAAAUUACUGCUGCGUUUAUAAGAUUCCAUGUGGUGGCAGUAUCUAUGGGUCACCUGUAAUUGACGAGGAGAUGAAGUUGCAGUGAUAGAGACAUGGUGCUCCAUAAAUUGGCAUCAGCUUUGCAACUUCUGCAUUUGUCUGUCCACGUCAAGUUGGCUUCAAGUGUCAGUUCCUGGAUAAUGCCCCACCUUAAAAACUUGGAUACAUUAUUUGUUGUAAAACAUGCCACUCUAUUGCCAACAUAAAGCUAACAAGUUUUGGAAGACGAUGGGUAAUGUGGAAUUUUCCAAGUUGGAUGUAGCAAAUAUAGAUUGUUCUAGAAAUUAAUUGAAAUAGGAACUUAAACAGUACAAACAAAUUACUAUCAAAUUUCAAAUUGGGCAACAAAGCCAUGUAUAUUUGGAAAUUUUGAGGAGCCACAAAACUAAUCGUUAGAUUAGCUACUUAAAUUUUCAUUAUUUCUACGACUUUCAGAAUGAUAAUCUGGUAUGCUGUUCAGUGGAAAAGUCAUGGAUGCAACUUUUAGAAAUACUUGUUUACUAAAUUACUACAAAUUGUUACUUUAGAUCCAAUACAUUAAGUAUUCAAAAAAGAAAAAAGGAGAUACUGAAAUUUGUUCUCUAUGUACUAUUGACAACAAUGAUGAAGAUUGUUGGCCAAGCGUAGAUGGGGAAAAUGACAUGAAGGAGACACUUGAAUAAUAACUGUAUAAUAAAGGAAACAUAGCUGUUUGCUUUUUGAGUUUGUCUUAAAUCUUAAUCAAAGGAGCAUCAAUGUAUUAAUAAAGGAAAUGAUGUGCCAGUCAUUUAGCCAAAUCCACCCUAGUUAGAUUGGAUGGUAGUGAGCAAAAACACAAGUUACUGUGUGAGCAACGUGGGAAUAUAUGAACUUUAUCGGAUCUGUUUCGGCACAAAUGUUUACAUUGUCCUUUUUAGCAACUGUGAUCAUAAACAUAAGUAGCUGUUUGUCUAUUUUCUUGAAGAAAUGAUGAUAAAAUUUACCAAUUUACCACCACGAGGAAUGCCAAAUACCACAAUAACAGUGAUAGUCAAAAGCUUGUAUGGCAAUGGGGCUUUAAGGGCUCAACUUCUGCCUAUAAUUAGCUUACUGCUCCAAGAAUUGCCUACAAAUUAUUGAAUGCUACUAGGGUUGUAGUACUUGCAGACUUUCAUCAAAUGUCACAAAGGAAUGAUCCACUCAAGAAGUACGUAUGCCAACUAGCUUUACAUGCACCAAAAAGUUCGCUCCAGAAAUUUCGGCAGACAAGUUUCAUUGACCUCAUCAAAUACCUGUAAUUGUGCUACUCCAAGGAACACAUGACACUAAUAGAACACUACUUGAAAUCACCAAGCAACUAAGAAAGUCAUAUGAAAAGAGAAGUUAAGGUAGAAUUUUAUAUACGCAUUACCUUUAAUCCGAGCAGCAGCAAAUGGAAAGUAGUACUCAAAUUGUGUUUCAAACAAGAAAACAGCUACCAUUUCAGUUAAGUGCCAAGUAAAUAAUAGAAUAUACACAGAGGGUGCAGAAACUGUCCACUGGUUAAUUUACAUGUAGUAGAAAACCUUAUUGGCCUCCUGAAAGAUUUGCAGUGCUGCAAAAUGCAUU